UUGGGUGCAGAGUCAGACCUGAUGUUAAGUGACCUCUGCACAGAUUUGGUCCAAUUAAUUUUGUUUUUUGAGGAGUUAAAGAAGCUUGAUUAUUUAAUUAAAUCAUAUAGUUUAUCUGGCUCGUAUUCUAAGUGCUUUGGGGGAUUUAAUAAGAGAGAACCUAACCAGAUUUACCUUACCUUUCUUUACUUGCCUUGUGCUUUGCUUUUUGCUUCCUCAGUAUACAUAUUUUUGUAAAUUUAAAUCUGAAAUUAAGAGCUAUUAAUGCAAAUACAAGGUCAUUAAUGUACUAAUGUGAAAAUAGUGUACUUAUGUGUGUGUGCAUUUCAUAUAUUUCCCCUUUGAAAUAAAAAAAAAUACUUUUGGGUAA